CCUACGGGUGGCAGCAGUGGGGAAUAUUGGACAAUGGGGGGAGCCCUGAUCCAGCGACGCCGCGUGAGUGAAGAAGUAUUUCGGUAUGUAAAGCUCUAUCAGCAGGGAAGAAAAUGACGGUACCUGAAGAAAAAGCAUCGGCUAACUCCGUGCCAGCAGCCGCGGUAAUACGGAGGAUGCGAGCGUUAUCCGGAUUUAUUGGGUUUAAGGGGUGCGUAGGCGGAAUAUCAAGUCAGCGGUAAAAAUUCGGGGCUCAACCCCGUCGUGCCGUUGAAACUGAUGUUCUUGAUUGGGCGAGAAGUAUGCGGAAUGCGUGGUGUAGCGGUGAAAUGCAUAGAUAUCACGCAGAACUCCGAUUGCGAAGGCAGCAUACCGGCGCCCAACUGACGCUGAAGCACGAAAGCGUGGGUAUCGAACAGGAUUAGAUACCCGAGUAGUC
rnacentral:rRNA from 1 species